rnacentral:tRNA from 2 species
GCGGGGGUACCCCAGCUGGCCAAAGGGGCAGGGUUGAGGGCCCUGUGGCUUAGUGCCUGCGCGGGUUCGAAUCCCGUCCCCCGCA